GAUAGCUCAGUUAGUUGAGCGUGGUGCUUAUAAUGCCAAGGUUGCAGGUUCGAUCCUCGCAUGGGACA
rnacentral:tRNA from 1 species